rnacentral:rRNA from 1 species
AAGCGUUGUGGAAACUAUUCGCUAAAGGGUGUUCGGGAGGCUACGCCGUAAAACAACCCCAUUUCU